rnacentral:siRNA from 1 species
AUGAAACUCAAAGCUGUGCUUCA